UGGGGGGAUAUUGCACAAUGGGGGGAAACCCUGAUGCAGCAACGCCGCGUGAGGGAAGAAGGUUUUCGGAUUGUAAACCUCUGUCCUCAGUGAAGAACGAAAUGACGGUAACUGAGGAGGAAGCUCCGGCUAACUACGUGCCAGCAGCCGCGGUAAUACGUAGGGAGCGAGCGUUGUCCGGAUUUAUUGGGUUUAAAGGGUGCGCAGGCGGGCGUCUAAGUCAGCGGUGAAAGUUCCCGGCUCAACCGGGUCAGUGCCGAUGAUACUGGGGGUCUUGAAUGCGGUCGAGGCCGGCGGAAUGUGGCGUGUAGCGGUGAAAUGCAUAGAUAUGCCACAGAACACCGAUAGCGAAGGCAGCUGGCCGGGCCUGCAUUGACGCUGAGGCACGAAAGCGUGGGGAUCGAACAGGAUUAGAUACCCUGGUAGU
rnacentral:rRNA from 1 species